rnacentral:rRNA from 1 species
GACAGAGGUGGCGAGCGUUGUUCGGAUUUAUUGGGCGUAAAGCGUACGCAGGCGGUUUGGUAAGUCAGAGGUGAAAGCCCACAGCUUAACUGUGGCACUGCCUUUGAUACUGCCUUUCUAGAGUGCAUGAGGGGGAAGCGGAAUUCCGAGUGUAGAGGUGAAAUUCGUAGAUAUUCGGAGGAACACCGGUGGCGAAGGCGGCUUCCUGGCAUGUAACUGACGCUCAUGUACGAAAGCGUGGGGAGCAAACAGGAUUAGAUACCCUGGUAGUCCACGCCCUAAACGAUGGGCACUAGGUGUGGGAGGUAUCGACCCCUUCCGUGCCGCAGCUAACGCAUUAAGUGCCCCGCCUGGGGAGUACGGCCGCAAGGUUGAAACUUAAAUGAAUUGACGG